GACAGGGGAGAGGACUGAAAAAGUCAUUUAAAUUAAUGUCUGUCUUCAUUUUAGUGUUAUUGUUUGGUCAGGACUCUUUUAGAAACCUAAAUGUGGAGUAGAGUUUUGUCUGUUGGGUGAACUACUCAACACAAGACGAUAGACUGUUGUUGAAGUUAAGCUAGCUGCUAAAACCUGGUGGCUAGUAGUGCAUGUGCAUGGACUUUGCUAACAAGUUAGCGACCAGAGAACCCAACUAGUGAAGACUGUGUGAAGCGGUGGGACUGACAACAGACACAAAGACCCAGCCGGAGUUGGAUAACAUUGCCAAGGGGUGGAAAUUGUCAACUGAGUGAAUCUUCUCUGCACCUGUGUGGAUAUCCUCGUCGUCUUUGUCUCUGUCUUAUUUCAGUUUGGACCAUAGCACAGAUGGAUCUGCCACUUUCAGACUGGUCUACAUCCUACGAAGCAUGCGGAGAUGUCCAAUGCUUUGCUACACUUGCCAAACUUCAAGAGGCCUCCUGCUACACUUAGAAUGGACACAAAGUACAAGAAAAGAGAGCAUCUUCCCUAACAGCUGUCCCAUCAUAUGUGAAGAAAGAGGACGAUCCGUUUGGUGGAUGACAAACCACUUAAACACAUCUAGAUGGCAUCUGUCAGGAAAUCCUGCAAACAUCAAGGUCCGUCUAUGGCACAGAACGGCACUGGAGGCAAGCUGGCUCUUUCUAUUUCCUGCACUCAGUGUCCUCAGCGCCAUAUGAGACUGAGAGUUGUUUUUCUGAACAUCUUGGCUCAGUAGACACCCUUUAUUUGACAAAGCAGGCAAAAAGGGAGGGGGGGGGGGGGAAAUGACAUUGCUGCUUAACUCACCAUUUUUACACUUGAUGAAAUAAAUACCUGUGCAAUAAUGGAGCAAUAAUUGCUGUAUUUCAAAAAUACCUGCACCUACAAGG